AAAUUGAAGAGUUUGAUCAUGGCUCAGAUUGAACGCUGGCGGCAGGCCUAACACAUGCAAGUCGAACGGUAACAGGAAGCAGCUUGCUGCUUUGCUGACGAGUGGCGGACGGGUGAGUAAUGUCUGGGAAACUGCCCGAUGGAGGGGGAUAACUACUGGAAACGGUGGCUAAUACCGCAUAACGUCGCAAGACCAAAGAGGGGGACCUUCGGGCCUCUUGCCAUCAGAUGUGCCCAGAUGGGAUUAGCUUGUUGGUGAGGUAACGGCUCACCAAGGCGACGAUCCCUAGCUGGUCUGAGAGGAUGACCAGCCACACUGGAACUGAGACACGGUCCAGACUCCUACGGGAGGCAGCAGUGGGGAAUAUUGCACAAUGGGCGCAAGCCUGAUGCAGCCAUGCCGCGUGUAUGAAGAAGGCCUUCGGGUUGUAAAGUACUUUCAGCGGGGAGGAAGGUGUUGUGGUUAAUAACCGCAGCAAUUGACGUUACCCGCAGAAGAAGCACCGGCUAACUCCGUGCCAGCAGCCGCGGUAAUACGGAGGGUGCAAGCGUUAAUCGGAAUUACUGGGCGUAAAGCGCACGCAGGCGGUCUGUCAAGUCGGAUGUGAAAUCCCCGGGCUCAACCUGGGAACUGCAUUCGAAACUGGCAGGCUUGAGUCUUGUAGAGGGGGGUAGAAUUCCAGGUGUAGCGGUGAAAUGCGUAGAGAUCUGGAGGAAUACCGGUGGCGAAGGCGGCCCCCUGGACAAAGACUGACGCUCAGGUGCGAAAGCGUGGGGAGCAAACAGGAUUAGAUACCCUGGUAGUCCACGCCGUAAACGAUGUCUACUUGGAGGUUGUGCCCUUGAGGCGUGGCUUCCGGAGCUAACGCGUUAAGUAGACCGCCUGGGGAGUACGGCCGCAAGGUUAAAACUCAAAUGAAUUGACGGGGGCCCGCACAAGCGGUGGAGCAUGUGGUUUAAUUCGAUGCAACGCGAAGAACCUUACCUGGUCUUGACAUCCACGGAAGUUUUCAGAGAUGAGAAUGUGCCUUCGGGAACCGUGAGACAGGUGCUGCAUGGCUGUCGUCAGCUCGUGUUGUGAAAUGUUGGGUUAAGUCCCGCAACGAGCGCAACCCUUAUCCUUUGUUGCCAGCGGUCCGGCCGGGAACUCAAAGGAGACUGCCAGUGAUAAACUGGAGGAAGGUGGGGAUGACGUCAAGUCAUCAUGGCCCUUACGACCAGGGCUACACACGUGCUACAAUGGCGCAUACAAAGAGAAGCGACCUCGCGAGAGCAAGCGGACCUCAUAAAGUGCGUCGUAGUCCGGAUUGGAGUCUGCAACUCGACUCCAUGAAGUCGGAAUCGCUAGUAAUCGUGGAUCAGAAUGCCACGGUGAAUACGUUCCCGGGCCUUGUACACACCGCCCGUCACACCAUGGGAGUGGGUUGCAAAAGAAGUAGGUAGCUUAACCUUCGGGAGGGCGCUUACCACUUUGUGAUUCAUGACUGGGGUGAAGUCGUAACAAGGUAACCGUAGGGGAACCUGCGGUUGGAUCACCUCCUUACCUUAAAGAAGC
rnacentral:rRNA from 1 species